UCUGUGGUCGCGGUCAGGGCUAUCCGGUGGCCCCGCUGUGUCCGGCCCGGUUCUGCUGCGGGCAGCGGGACCAGAAGGAACCAUCUCUGUUGGGCCCUUGCGCCGCGAUUUCUCCUUUCAGGCGCCUUCUUUUUUUUUAACCUCCUUCCCCCAGACAACUUUUGUAGGAAUUCUUCUUGAGUGGAGGUCCUUACGCUUGAAGCUUUUCUGAGAGGACCACCAAGACAUGGAGGUAUAAUGCCGAAGAAUGGCUGCUACAAUGUGACUUUUGGCAAUGAGCAUGUUUACUUGGCAUCUGCACAGAAAAGUGACAUGCCAUUGUGGAGCAAAUAAAACAUUUUAUGGUAUUUUGUAUAACUUUAAACCCUUGCCAUGGAUUAUGUGUCUAUAUAAUCUUCUACUCAAAGCUUUUAGCUGCAAAUAAAAGCCUAUAAAUAUGAACCUUAAAAUCU